rnacentral:rRNA from 1 species
AGGACGAACGCUGGCGGCGUGCUUAACACAUGCAAGUCGAACGGAAAGGCCCUGCUUGCAGGGUACUCGAGUGGCGAACGGGUGAGUAACACGUGGGUGAUCUGCCCUGCACUUCGGGAUAAGCUUGGGAAACUGGGUCUAAUACCGGAUAGGAGCCAUCUUUAGUGUGGUGGUUGGAAAGUUUUUUCGGUGUAGGAUGAGCUCGCGGCCUAUCAGCUUGUUGGUGGGGUAAUGGCCUACCAAGGCGGCGACGGGUAGCCGGCCUGAGAGGGUGUACGGCCACAUUGGGACUGAGAUACGGCCCAGACUCCUACGGGAGGCAGCAGUGGGGAAUAUUGCACAAUGGGCGCGAGCCUGAUGCAGCGACGCCGCGUGGGGGAUGAAGGCCUUCGGGUUGUAAACUCCUUUCGCUAGGGACGAAGCUUUGUUGUGACGGUACCUAGAUAAGAAGCACCGGCUAACUACGUGCCAGCAGCCGCGGUAAUACGUAGGGUGCGAGCGUUGUCCGGAAUUACUGGGCGUAAAGGGCUCGUAGGUGGUUUGUCGCGUCGUCUGUGAAAUUCUGGGGCUUAACUCCGGGCGUGCAGGCGAUACGGGCAUAACUUGAGUGCUGUAGGGGUAACUGGAAUUCCUGGUGUAGCGGUGAAAUGCGCAGAUAUCAGGAGGAACACCGAUGGCGAAGGCAGGUUACUGGGCAGUUACUGACGCUGAGGAGCGAAAGCAUGGGUAGCGAACAGGAUUAGAUACCUG